rnacentral:rRNA from 1 species
GAUGAACGCUGGCGGCGUGCCUAAUACAUGCAAGUCGAGCGAAGCGGGCACGGGGGAGUGUCACGUGGAUAACCCCCUAUAAGACUGGGGUAACAUCGUGAAACCGGAGCUAAACCGGAUAAUUAUAGAUGGAUCCAUGCUGCAUUAGCUAGUUGGUAAGGUAACGGCUUACCAAGGCAACGACGCAUAGCCGGCCUGAGAGGGUGACCGGCCACACUGGAACUGAGACACGGUCCAGACUCCUACGGGAGGCAGCAGUGGGGAAUCUUCCGCAAUGGGCGAAAGCCUGACGGAGCAACGCCGAGUGAGUGAGGAAGGCCUUCGGAUCGUAAAACUCUUUUAUUAGGGAAGCGGUACCUAAUCAGAAAGCCACGGCUAACUACGUGCCAGCAGCCGCGGUAAUUC